UGGAUUACACACAGUGAACAGUGAGAGUGAACUGAUUUAUAUAGAUAGAAAUUAUAACAUCAACAAACUGUCAAAAGAUAUGAAAACAACCACCACAUUUAUAAAGAAAACUGACUCUACAUGGUUACCGCAGUGUGUGCACUGGUCCCCGUCCACUAGGGAUCUACUGGUUGGGAUGUAUAACCACAGGACAGGCAAGGUGGCCCGGUACAACCAGAGCGUACAACAGACACAAAACAUACAACACGGCAACACAGGACUGGAACUGUAUAGAAAACCUAGUUAUAUAACAGAGAACAACAAUGGGGAUGUCAUUGUAUCUGACAUGUUGUCUGGUGCUGUAGUGGUGACAGAGCGUAGAGGAAGACAUCGUUUCUCCUAUACAGGACAUCCAUCAGGAUCAGGACUACGACCACAUGGAAUCUGUACUGACGCGCUGUCACACAUCCUGGUAUAUCACCAGACAGGACGCUCUGACAGAUCUGAAACCAGCCACUGCUGAUGUGACGGAGUCACUGAGUGAAAUCCCAACCACAGGGGAAGAAAAACCAAAGAAAGGAAACCAGUGUCUGUCGAAACUGACGUCUGAGAACAACAAUGGGGAUGUCUUGGUGUCUGACUUUGAUGCUUUAGUGGUGACAGAGCGUGGAGGAAGGUAUAUCACCAGACAGGACGCUCUGACAGAUGAGCACAGAUCCAAUCCUGAUAAGUACGCAUUGCCAGCUCAACACCAGCCGUAGAAUUGAGAUAGCUUGGACAUACAGACAAGCUGCGUUUUUGAACCCCCUCAGGUGGAGACAGUAGGAAACUUGCUAGGAUAAUCCAUAAUUCCGAUAGUCACAUAAAUCGAAACCAAUUGUAUAGCAAUAACGCGUCAUCAAUGAACUAUAUUUCUGUGUACAUGAACUCUACAUGAAUAACGUGCCACCAAUGGACUCUGUUUCUGUGAACUCUGCAUGAAUAACGCGUCAUCAAUAGACUCUGUUUCUGUGAACUCUGCAUGAAUAACGCAUCAUCAAUGGACUCUGCGUUCUGCAUACAUAAACUCUACAGUAAUUUGUUAUUUUACUUUUUUAUCAGUUUUAUCUUAGUAUAAUAUGCAUAAGUCAAGUAAGUUGCAAUUUGA
rnacentral:sRNA from 1 species